UUGCUGGAUGGGCGAAAGCCUGAUGCAGCAACGCCGCGUGCGAGAUGAAGUUCUUCGGGUCGUAAAGCUCUUUGAUCAGGGAGGAUAAUGACAGUACCUGAAAAACAACCCACGGCUAACUACGUGCCAGCAGCCGCGGUAAUACGUAGGUGGCGAGCGUUGUCCGGAAUUACUGGGCGUAAAGGAUGCGUAGGUGGAUACUUAAGUGGGAUGUGAAAUCCCCGGGCUCGACCCGGGAACUGCAUUCCAAACUGGGUAUCUAGAGUGCAGGAGAGGAAAGCGGAAUUCCUAGUGUAGCGGUGAAAUGCGUAGAUAUUAGGAGGAACACCAGUGGCGAAGGCGGCUUUCUGGACUGUAACUGACACUGAGGCAUGAAAGCGUGGGUAGCAAACAGG
rnacentral:rRNA from 1 species